rnacentral:rRNA from 1 species
GGUCAAGCGAAUAAGCGCACACGGUGGAUGCCUUGGCGGUCAGAGGCGAUGAAGGACGUGGCAGCCUGCGAAAAGUAUCGGGGAGCUGGCAACAAGCUUUGAUCCGGUAAUGUCCGAAUGGGGAAACCCACCCGCUUGCGGGUAUCCUGCAGUGAAUACAUAGCUGCUGGAAGCGAACCUGGUGAACUGAAAUAUCUAAGUAACCAGAGGAAAAGAAAUCAACCGAGAUUCCGUAAGUAGCGACGAGCGAACGCGGACUAGCCCUUAAGCUGGAUUGGUUCUAGGAAAACGCUCUGGAAAGAGCGGCCAUAGAAGGUGAUAGCCCUGUAUCUGAAAGGGCCAUUCCAGUGAAGACGAGUAGGGCGGGGCACGUGAAACCCUGUCUGAACAUGGGGGGACCAUCCUCCAAGGCUAAAUACUACUGACCGACCGAUAGUGAACCAGUACCGUGAGGGAAAGGCGAAAAGAACCCCGGAGAGGGGAGUGAAAUAGAACCUGAAACCGUGUGCGUACAAGCAGUAGGAGCUCCGCAAGGAGUGACUGCGUACCUUUUGUAUAAUGGGUCAGCGACUUACUGUUCGUGGCAAGCUUAACCGUAUAGGGGAGGCGAAGGGAAACCGAGUCUGAUAAGGGCGCAUAGUCGCGGGCAGUAGACCCGAAACCGGGUGAUCUAGUCAUGCCCAGGGUGAAGGUGCGGUAACACGCACUGGAGGCCCGAACCCACUCCCGUUGCAAAGGUAGGGGAUGAGGUGUGAUUAGGAGUGAAAAGCUAAUCGAACCCGGAGAUAGCUGGUUCUCCUCGAAAGCUAUUUAGGUAGCGCCUCAUAUGUAUCCUCUCGGGGGUAGAGCACUGUUAUGGCUAGGGGGUCAUCGCGACUUACCAAACCAUUGCAAACUCCGAAUACCGAGACGGACUGUAUGGGAGACACACGGCGGGUGCUAACGUCCGUCGUGAAAAGGGAAACAACCCAGACCCACAGCUAAGGUCCCAAAUUUUGUGCUAAGUGGAAAACCAUGUGGAAAGGCACAGACAGCCAGGAGGUUGGCUUAGAAGCAGCCACCCUUUAAAGAAAGCGUAAUAGCUCACUGGUCGAGUCGGUCUGCGGGGAAGAUUUAACGGGGCUAAGCACAGAACCGAAGCUUGGGGUGCAUAACUUUGUUAUGCGCGGUAGAGGAGCGUUCCGUAAGCCGUUGAAGGUGGAUUGAGAAGUCUGCUGGAGGUAUCGGAAGUGCGAAUGCUGACAUGAGUAACGAUAAUGCGGGUGAAAAACCCGCACGCCGAAAGCCCAAGGUUUCCUUGCGCAACGUUAAUCGGCGCAGGGUGAGUCGGCCCCUAAGGCGAGGACGAAAGUCGUAGUCGAUGGGAAGCAGGUUAAUAUUCCUGCACCUCGCGUAAGUGCGAUGGAGGGACGGAGAAGGUUAGGUGUACCAGGCGUUGGUUGUCCUGGGGAAAGGCGGUAGGUUUGGAUCUUUGGCAAAUCCGGGAUCCUUUAAGACCGAGCACCGAGACGAGCCUUUAUGGCGAAGUCACUGAUACCACGCUUCCAGGAAAAGCUCCUAAGCUUCAGCUUACGCAGACCGUACCGUAAACCGACACAGGUGGGUAGGAUGAGAAUUCUCAGGCGCUUGAGAGAACUCGGGUGAAGGAACUAGGCAACAUGGCACCGUAACUUCGGGAGAAGGUGCACCCUUUUUGGUGGCUCGUGCGAGCUAUAGCUGAAGAGGGUCGCAGUAACCAGGCCGCUGCGACUGUUUAUCAAAAACACAGCACUCUGCAAACACGAAAGUGGACGUAUAGGGUGUGACGCCUGCCCGGUGCUGGAAGGUUAAUUGAUGGGGUCAGCCGCAAGGCGAAGCUCUUGAUCGAAGCCCCAGUAAACGGCGGCCGUAACUAUAACGGUCCUAAGGUAGCGAAAUUCCUUGUCGGGUAAGUUCCGACCUGCACGAAUGGCGUAACGACAGCGGCGCUGUCUCCACCCGAGACUCAGUGAAAUUGAAAUCGCUGUGAAGAUGCAGCGUUCCCGUGGCAAGACGGAAAGACCCCGUGAACCUUUACUAUAGCUUUACACUGAACGUUGAGUUCGUCUGUGUAGGAUAGGUGGGAGGCUAUGAAACUGUGGCGCCAGCUGCAGUGGAGCCAUCCUUGAAAUACCACCCUGUCGUGCUUGACGUUCUAACCUGGGCCCAUUAUCUGGGUCGGGGACCGUGUAUGGUGGGUAGUUUGACUGGGGCGGUCUCCUCCUAAAGAGUAACGGAGGAGCUCGAAGGUACGCUCAGCGCGGUCGGACAUCGCGCACUGUGUGCAAAGGCAUAAGCGUGCUUGACUGCAAGAUCGACGGAUCAAGCAGGUAGGAAACUAGGACUUAGUGAUCCGGUGGUUCUGUAUGGAAGGGCCAUCGCUCAACGGAUAAAAGGUACUCCGGGGAUAACAGGCUGAUACCGCCCAAGAGUUCAUAUCGACGGCGGUGUUUGGCACCUCGAUGUCGGCUCAUCACAUCCUGGGGCUGUAGUCGGUCCCAAGGGUAUGGCUGUUCGCCAUUUAAAGUGGUACGCGAGCUGGGUUCAGAACGUCGUGAGACAGUUCGGUCCCUAUCUGCCAUGGGCGUUGGAGAUUUGAGAGGGGCUGCUCCUAGUACGAGAGGACCGGAGUGGACGAACCUCUGGUGUUCCGGUUGUCACGCCAGUGGCAUUGCCGGGUAGCUAUGUUCGGAAGCGAUAACCGCUGAAAGCAUCUAAGCGGGAAGCGCGCCUCAAGAUGAGAUCUCCCGGGGCACAAGCCCCCUGAAGGAACCAUGUAGACUACGUGGUUGAUAGGUCAGGUGUGUAAGUACAGCAAUGUAUUGAGCUAACUGAUACUAAUGAUCCGUGCGGCUUGACCAU